UUGGAUUCUUGGAAUGUACAGGAAGCUGGAAGAAGGUGUUUGAGUGAGCAUCUGCCACUUCCUGUCCUUAGCAGGGAAAGGAAGGCUGCUCUCUUCUGAGUUUUUCCUACCUUAAACUUUUGUGGGAGAAGGAAACUGUAAACUGCCUUUGGAGGUUCUUUUUUCACUGGAGAGAACAUCUUACAGAAGACCUGUCUAUACCUGCUGUUUUUACCAACACUGCCUGAGAGAAGGUUUACCUGAAGAUCCUGUUCGUUGGGCUCUGAAGGUCCCACCUCAGAGCCAAACUCAGCUCUGAGUGAACUCCAUCUUGAGGAGGCUGUCAGUUUCAUCUUUGAGCUAUGAAGAUCGAUGAGAUCUAUGGAGAAGAUAAAUAGGAAAGAGGUGUGGACUGUUAUAGGUAGAGAACUGCCUUUGGAGUUCUCAUGACUUCCUGUGGAGAGGGCUAGUUCGAUCCUGUUCGAUCCUGGAGCUCAAGUUGGAGGAGCCCCGCAGACAGCUUUCCUUCAAAUCGGUCACAUGAGUGAAAGAGACUGACUUCCUUCUUUCCCUUGGCUCUCCAAGGCAUUAAACUCCUUCCUGGCUCAGCCUGAGCCAGAGUGGUUUUGAGUUAACUCCUUUCCCUCUCUCCCUCCCUCUCUCUCUCUCUCUCUCUCUCUUAAUUUCUUCCUCUUUUUGUAAUUAAAUCACCAUAAA